rnacentral:tRNA from 1 species
UGGUCCGUUGGUCAAGGGGUUAAGACACCGCCUUUUCACGGCGGUAACACGGGUUCGAAUCCCGUACAGACUAU